AUACGGAGGGGGCUAGCGUUGUUCGGAAUUACUGGGCGUAAGGCGCACGUAGGCGGAUUAAAAAGUUAGAGGUGAAAUCCCAGGGCUUAACCCUGGAACUGCCUUUAAAACUAGUAGUCUAGAGUUCGAGAGAGGUGAGUGGAAUUCCAAGUGUAGAGGUGAAAUUCGUAGAUAUUUGGAGGAACACCAGUGGCGAAGGCGGCUCACUGGCUCGAUACUGACGCUGAGGUGCGAAAGCGUGGGGAGCAAACAGGAUUAGAAACCCCGGUAGUCC
rnacentral:rRNA from 1 species